GGUCGAGUGACCCCGCGCCGAAAAUGUACCGGGGCUAAACAUAUUACCGAAACUGUGGAUGAACCUCUUUAGAGGUUCGUGGUAGGAGAGCGUUCUAAGGGCGGUGAAGUCAGACCGGAAGGACUGGGGGAGCGCUUAGAAGUGAGAAUGCCGGUAUGAGUAGCGAAAGAAGGGUGAGAAUCCCUUCCACCGAAUAUCUAAGGUUUCCUGAGGAAGGCUCGUCCGCUCAGGGGUAGUCGGGACCUAAGCCGAGGC
rnacentral:rRNA from 1 species